rnacentral:tRNA from 1 species
GAUCAGGUGGCCGAGUGGUUAAGGCGAUGGACUGCUAAUCCAUUGGGGUUUCCCCGCGUGAGUUCGAAUCU